rnacentral:rRNA from 1 species
GAUGAACGCUGGCGGCGUGCCUAAUACAUGCAAGUCGAGCGAACGGACGAGAAGCUUGCUUCUCUGAUGUUAGCGGCGGACGGGUGUGUAACGCGUGGAUAACCUACCUAUAAGACUGGGAUAACUUCGGGAAACCGGAGCUAAUACCGGAUAAUAUUUUGAACCGCAUGGUUCAAAAGUGAAAGACGGUCUUGCUGUCACUUAUAGAUGGAUCCGCGCUGCAUUAGCUAGUUGGUAAGGUAACGGCUUACCAAGGCAACGAUGCAUAGCCGACCUGAGAGGGUGAUCGGCCACACUGGAACUGAGACACGGUCCAGACUCCUACGGGAGGCAGCAGUAGGGAAUCUUCCGCAAUGGGCGAAAGCCUGACGGAGCAACGCCGCGUGAGUGAUGAAGGUCUUCGGAUCGUAAAACUCUGUUAUUAGGGAAGAACAUAUGUGUAAGUAACUGUGCACAUCUUGACGGUACCUAAUCAGAAAGCCACGGCUAACUACGUG